rnacentral:rRNA from 1 species
AUUGAACGCAGGCGGCAUGCCUUACACAUUCAAGUCGAACGGCAGCACGGGAGCAAUCCUGGUGGCGAGUGGCGAACGGGUGAGUAAUGUAUCGGAACGUGCCCAGUCGUGGGGGAUAACGUAGCGAAAGCUACGCUAAUACCGCAUACGAUCUAUGGAUGAAAGCGGGGGAUCGCAAGACCUCGCGCGAUUGGAGCGGCCGAUAUCAGAUUAGGUAGUUGGUGGGGUAAAGGCCUACCGAGCCUGCGAUCUGUAGCUGGUCUGAGAGGACGAACAGCCACACUGGAACUGAGACACGGUACAGACUCCUACGGGAGGCAGCAGUGGGGAAUUUUGGAGAAUGGGCGCAAGCCUGAUCCAGCAAUGCCGCGUGCAGGAUGAAGGCCUUCGGGUUGUAAGCUGCUUUUGUACGGAGCGAAAAGGCUCUCUCUAAUACAGGGGGCUCAUGACGGUACCGUAAGAAUAAGCACCGGCUAACUACGUGACAGCCGCCGCCGUAACAC